rnacentral:sRNA from 1 species
AAAAUGGAUAAAUGCAUUUCCUACAAUCUUACAACCGUCACCGUUCCAGGGAACUUGCAUGGAGAGCAGUGAGUCAUGCUUUUGUAACGUAAGUUCUAAAAGUUUCACCUACACGGGCAACAAAGCAGAAGAAAGCAAACGUAGGCGCUUCAAUAUUUUUAGAAUAAAGGAAAAAAAAGUGAGUAAUUAAUAUUUUUUGUGGCAGUUGCGUUGAGUCUGGUAGGUGGUACGGAGCGCGGCGUUGUUUUUCACUUAACAUUUUUACUUUACAG